UACGGAGGGGGCUAGCGUUGUUCGGAAUUACUGGGCGUAAAGCGCGCGUAGGCGGCUUUGUAAGUUAGAGGUGAAAGCCCGGAGCUCAACCCCGGAACUGCCUUUAAGACUGCAUCGCUUGAAUCAUGGAGAGGUGAGUGGAAUUCCGAGUGUAGAGGUGAAAUUCGUAGAUAUUCGGAAGAACACCAGUGGCGAAGGCGACUCACUGGACAUGUAUUGACGCUGAGGUGCGAAAGCGUGGGGAGCAAACAGGG
rnacentral:rRNA from 1 species